rnacentral:rRNA from 1 species
UACGUAGGGUGCGAGCGUUGUCCGGAAUUAUUGGGCGUAAAGAGCUUGUAGGCGGUCUGUCGCGUCUGCUGUGAAAAUCCGGGGCUUAACCCCGGGCCUGCAGUGGGUACGGGCAGACUAGAGUGCGGUAGGGGAGACUGGAAUUCCUGGUGUAGCGGUGAAAUGCGCAGAUAUCAGGAGGAACACCGGUGGCGAAGGCGGGUCUCUGGGCCGUAACUGACGCUGAGGAGCGAAAGCUAGGGGAGCAAACGGG